GUUCUCCACUGCAGAAGUGUCGUGUGUUAAAAAUGUUAAGAAAUCAAAUAAUUCAAUAAUUACGUUCCGGGCCAUAUUGGAAUAUAAAAAAAGACUGCAGUAAUGGCCAAUAUAUUGGAUGCAAUUUCCCAAGUGACUAAAACUGAGCCUCCAGAGAAGAUACUGCGCAAUAAAUUUGGUCUUCAUGAAUAGAAAGCGGAACACCAAGGAUCAAAAAAACCUUAAGGCCUUUUAAUAUAUGGAUGUUUAAUCUUAAUUUUUUAUAUUUGUGUUUUAG